rnacentral:rRNA from 1 species
UACGGGGGGAGCAAGCGUUGUUCGGAUUUACUGGGCGUAAAGGGCGCGUAGGCGGUCGUGACAAGUCACUUGUGAAAUCUCCGGGCUUAACUCGGAAAGGUCAACUGAUACUGCGGGGCUAGAGUGCGGAAGGGGCAACUGGAAUUCUCGGUGUAGCGGUGAAAUGCGUAGAUAUCGAGAGGAACACCUGCGGCGAAGGCGGGUUGCUGGGCCGACACUGACGCUGAUGCGCGAAAGCCAGGGGAGCGAACGGG